AUCUUCUCUACACAGUCAUACAAAAAACAUUCACAAUUCAACUGUGAGAUUCAGAUCAACUCUAUGAUGGAGAGAAGAGGCUGUAACACUUAAAGAGAGCUGAGAUUUAUUUUUAACCUUUUUAUUCACUGUUGUUCUUAAAAUUACUAUUCUUCCACUUACGCUGUACUUAGGAGCACAUAUGCAAGAUAUACUGUCAUGUUGCUUUGUAAUUGAUCUGUUUUGCUUUUUUUGUAAAAAGGGAUCUAAAUGGAUUUAAUGGGCCCUUUUUUAUUAAAGAAAAAAAGAAGAAUACCGUUAAAGAACCGGACUGAUGUGCAGUAUCAUAAGAAUAGUAAUACCGUUUAAACCUUAACGAUACCGAUACUUGUAAUAAAUUUCUUUACUUUUUAUAUUCUAUCAGCAACUUUUAUUGUCUGCUAAUUGUAUUUGCAUAUGGAAAAUGUUUGCUUAUUGGGCUUUCUGUUUUAAAUUUCUCAAUAAAGCUUUUGAAUU